rnacentral:tRNA from 1 species
GCCAGGAUAGCUCAGUGGUCAGAGCAUUCGCUUCAUAAGCGAGAGGUCGUGGGUUCAAAUCCCACUCCUGGUA